AUAAAGGGAAUUUAUUUAGAAGGCAUCAAAGGGAUGUUGACGGGAGAUGCAAAAGAUCAACCACCUUGAAGGGUAUCACAAAGAUCAAAUAUUGCAUUAAAAUAUUCCACUAUGCCAACUACUGCAUCAACAAAUUGUGAGGGCAAUGAGACACAAAGCCUUUCUCUUCUCAUUUGUUGGCCGAAUCCCUCUCCAGACCUGAAGUUCACCCCUUACAGAGCUUGUGAUAACACACCUUUGGCCGCUCAAGUUUAGGGCCAAAUUUGAAAAAUUAUUGGUCCAAGGGCAUUGAAGGAGGAUAUGCUCAUCUUAGUAUCAACCAUGCAAAGGGGCCAUCUAUUGGCGACAUAGCCCCCUUCUCUACAAGUUAUCCAAUGUCAGAUCUUCCAUGAGGUGCUUCCUGAGCAAGGAAGGCCACUUUUGUGGGGCUAGGUGUUCUCCAAAUUUGAGUCCAAGGGAACUUAUUACUAUUAGACUUCAAAGGACAAAGUUUCCUGUAAAAUAAUCCCUUCUUAGCUUAGGUCCAAACUAUUUUGGUGGUGAAAAUUAUAAAGAUAGCUAUGUAAGUCUCUGAGCUAAUGGAGUUCCCGAUCUUCUUCUAAGAAAGGGGAUCUUCCAAAAGAACCCUUGAUAUGAGGUUUGGAAGCGUGGUUGAUGUAGGCAUCUUUGUCAGUAGCCAAGUUGUAAAUGGCUGGAAAUAAGACACGAAGAGCCUCCUGAUUGUGCCACACAUCAUGCCAAUAGUAAUGUUGUUUGCCCCCACUCCCCACAUGGAAUCUACACAAGAAACGAAACCAUCCCAACCUUUCUGGAUGAAAUUUCGCAACCCAGCACCGUUCCCUUUGUCAGCUUGGGAGAUCCAAUCAUUAUGUUUAAGCCUCUAUUUCAUGGUGAUGAUUACCCACCAAAGGUGAUCCUUCUCUAAGGGCAUUAAAACUUUUGUAAUGGAGAAAAUUUUAUUUUUUUGGGUUACAAGAGAUUCUUAAGCCUUUGGAGCGAGAUGAGGUGAAGCCAAGAUUUGUUGGACUAGGUAAAAUUUUCUUUCUUCAUUUGUAUUUUGGUUUAUUAAUGGUUUAUAUAUAUAUAUAUAUAUAUUUAAAUGAUACCA